UAAUACAUGCAAGUCGAACGAACUCUGGUAUUGAUUGGUGCUUGCAUCAUGAUUUACAUUUGAGUGAGUGGCGAACUGGUGAGUAACACGUGGGAAACCUGCCCAGAAGCGGGGGAUAACACCUGGAAACAGAUGCUAAUACCGCAUAACAACUUGGACCGCAUGGUCCGAGYUUGAAAGAUGGCUUCGGCUAUCACUUUUGGAUGGUCCCGCGGCGUAUUAGCUAGAUGGUGGGGUAACGGCUCACCAUGGCAAUGAUACGUAGCCGACCUGAGAGGGUAAUCGGCCACAUUGGGACUGAGACACGGCCCAAACUCCUACGGGAGGCAGCAGUAGGGAAUCUUCCACAAUGGACGAAAGUCUGAUGGAGCAACGCCGCGUGAGUGAAGAAGGGUUUCGGCUCGUAAAACUCUGUUGUUAAAGAAGAACAUAUCUGAGAGUAACUGUUCAGGUAUUGACGGUAUUUAACCAGAAAGCCACGGCUAACUACGUGCCAGCAGCCGCGGUAAUACGUAGGUGGCAAGCGUUGUCCGGAUUUAUUGGGCGUAAAGCGAGCGCAGGCGGUUUUUUAAGUCUGAUGUGAAAGCCUUCGGCUCAACCGAAGAAGUGCAUCGGAAACUGGGAAACUUGAGUGCAGAAGAGGACAGUGGAACUCCAUGUGUAGCGGUGAAAUGCGUAGAUAUAUGGAAGAACACCAGUGGCGAAGGCGGCUGUCUGGUCUGUAACUGACGCUGAGGCUCGAAAGUAU
rnacentral:rRNA from 1 species